rnacentral:tRNA from 1 species
UCCCCGGUCGUCUAGUGGUAGGACAUAGGACUUUGAAUCCUAGAACCUUGGUUCGAAUCCAAGCUGGGGAACCA